CCUAUAAAGAAACUGUAAUUGGUGAAAUGAAAUUCAAACACAAAGGUCCUCCUUUUGUCUUUGUUAAUAUAUAUAGAAUUAAUUACUCCAAAGAUGUAAUCGUGUUAUUAUUAUUUUUCAUCUUCAAACUCUCAACUACGAGCUAGUUCAGGAAUAUUAUCUGAGGAGUCUUUAAUUUUGCCAUGAAGAGUAUGAACAACACUACAUUUUCAACCUUGAGUUCAUUCCGAAAACAUCUGAAGAUCAGAAUUUUUUAAAACACAAAAGAAAUAGUCAAGCAUUUGUGCUAGCAGUUAAUUAAGUGUCAGGUGUACGUAAGUUGGUCUGAAUAUAUAUACCACACGUCUGCUGUUAACUUGAAAGAAUUAUAGCACAAGUGAUGGAGACAAAAAAAAAAUUUUAUGAAGAAGCUAGGUUUAUCAUAUAUUAUCCAUACAUAAGAAUAUUAUCAAUAUGUGGUGUGAUUUUUCGACGAAUAUAAAUUUGGAUGAACCCUUUCGUCGCUCUAGUUCCGCCCUUACUCAGUAAGCAUAGACUUGAUGAGUUCCCCCUUUAAACUUCAUUGUUGUUGUCUCAGAUAUUACUUCUUUCCCAUUUCCUCGUAGAAUAAAAGGAUAUUCAUGUUCUUUACUAGUAAACAAUAUCAAUAAAAAUUCACAGUACCUUGUAACUCCUCGUUGGUUUGUUUUUCCCUUUUGUACUUCUGUAUGCUGAAAUUAAAGGUCAUUUUUGCUUAAUACUCCA